rnacentral:lncRNA from 1 species
UCGAACCCGUUCACCGUUGGAUCGUCGUGAAAUUUGAGUAUCAUGUUCGCAACACAAUUCCGAACAUUCUCACCGUUGGGAAUUUCGAUAUCAUGUCUGAACUGAGAGAAACACCCUUCGCAUUGUAGCCUUUUUCUUUCCCGCAGAAACCCAGAGCUGUCUUGGUAAAACUACGAUCCCGGUUUCGUUAACCGUUGGAUUAUUGUGAAAUUUG